GCCUGGCUGGCUAAGUCGGAAAAGCACGUAACUCUUGAUCUCGGGGUUGUGGGUUUGAGCCCCACUUUGGGUA
rnacentral:tRNA from 1 species